AUACUGACGCUGAGGUACGAAAGCGUGGGUAGCAAACAGGAUUAGAUACCCUGGUAGUCCACGCCGUAAACGAUGAUAACUAGCCGUUGGGGGGAUUUACCCCUUAGUGGCGAAGCUAACGCGUUAAGUUAUCCGCCUGGGGAGUACGGCCGCAAGGUUAAAACUCAAAGGAAUUGACGGGGACCCGCACAAGCGGUGGAGCAUGUGGUUUAAUUCGAUGCAACGCGAAGAACCUUACCUGGUCUUGACAUCCUGAGAACUUUCUAGAAAUAGAUUGGUGCCUUCGGGAACUCAGUGACAGGUGCUGCAUGGCUGUCGUCAGCUCGUGUCGUGAGAUGUUGGGUUAAGUCCCGUAACGAGCGCAACCCCUAUCCUUAUUUGCCAGCACAUCAUGGUGGGAACUAUAAGGAGACUGCCGGUGAUAAACCGGAGGAAGGCGGGGACGACGUCAAGUCAUCAUGGCCCUUACGACCAGGGCUACACACGUGCUACAAUGGGAAGGACAAAGAGCCGCGAAGCCGCGAGGUGUAGCUAAUCUCAGAAACCUUUUCGUAGUCCGGAUUGGAGUCUGCAACUCGACUCCAUGAAGUCGGAAUCGCUAGUAAUCGUAGAUCAGAAUGCUACGGUGAAUACGUUCCCGGGUCUUGUACACACCGCCCGUCAUACCAUGGGAGUGGGUUGCACCAGAAGUGGCUAGUCUAACUUUAUUGAGGACGGUCACCACGGUGUGAUUCAUGACUGGGGUAAAGUCGUAACAAGGUAACCGUA
rnacentral:rRNA from 1 species